UUUAUAUGAAGAGGGAGUGUGUGUGUGUGUGUGUGUGUGUGUGUUUGAGUGUGUGUGAGUGUGUGUGUGUGUUUGGGGAGGGGGCUGUCUCCAUUUCUUUUGUGUCUCAAUGGAUGUGACUUUGCGGGGGGAUGGGAUGUUGGCCUUUUCUCCAAAAGGCUCUAAGCCAGGACCAUCUGGAGUUGACCCAGAUUGGACUCACGGGUCCCGAGAUCAUUACUGAGCCUGAGAGCAGUGAGGUCCAGGCCCCGUGUCCCAGCCCCUGCCCACCAGCUGCCCCACAGAGACAUCAGUGAAAAUAGCCAAGGGGCUCAGGGUUCACUCAUUGGGUCCCAGCUUGGAUUGGGGGCUGGACUCCAAAUUAGCAUGUAAGUCAAAGAUGCACAAAGUUGAGAUCCCUAGGGAGGCUCCCCAGCUGGAGAGACAGAUGCGCCAUCUCUAGGUGGGUCAGGUUCCAGCUGAGCACCUACUGUCACCUGGCCUGUGGGGGCCGGCGCGAAGGAGGAGAUGGUUCAGUACUGGCACAGCGCCUGGAUUGUUGAGGUGUGAAGUGGUGCUCACACCACAAGAAUCAGGCAGGACUGAGCUGCCCCGGGGGCAGAGGAGAUGCUCAUCUUGGCCUCACUCGGAGACACGGAUCACCCACUGCCUUCCCUAAGUGGUUUCACCCACGUUCCACAUGGUUCUGUGCUAAGUACCUCAUUCCCCCUCUGCUGAGAUUCGAAAGCUGCCCUGUUUGGUCCGCAGUGGACACAGGCAGCCUGGUCAAGAGGUACCAGCCAUCCAGAGAGAGAGAGAGACCCACAGCACUAGCCUUUUUCUGUGACCUCUUGCUAUUGCUAUUGGGGGAGGACGCAAACCGAUUUCUGGAAUCUGAGAAUACAGCGAGAUGAAGGGCAAAGCCAGAUGUUCCUAAGAAGGUCAUUUCUGAGCCCAUCCUGGGAACUAGAUCCAGAGACCUUCAUCAGGCCUGCCUCUGUGACCAGCUGGCAGUACCUUCUGGCUGCUGGCUGGAGAGGCGCCUGCCCUUUCGGAAGUCCCUCCCCCUGCCCGUGACUGCCAGCCUGCCUGGGCCAGCUGUGGCUUCUUGCAACUUUUGCAGCAUUCUUGGUUGUUUCCCUGGCAAUGUGACUGCCCCACUCUACCCCAACAAGGGAGCCCCCUACCCUGGGGAGAGUUGGCAACAAGAUCUCAUAGAUGCCCCUGUGGGUCGGGAGGAGGGACUCCAUCUCUCUCUCUCUCUCCUCUCUCUCUCUGUACUGGGAUGCUG
rnacentral:lncRNA from 1 species